rfam:Salmo salar isolate Sally breed double haploid chromosome ssa01, whole genome shotgun sequence.
UGUGUUCACUACUGUAAGUCGCUCUGGUUAAGAGUGUCUGCUAAAUGACUCUUU